CCUGAACUCAACCCCAUCGAUUACCUUUGGGAUGAAUUGGGCUGCCGACUGCGAGCCAGGCCUAAUUGCCCAACGUAUUCUUCUUCUUUGUGUUUGCCCUGAGGCCAUCAUGUCUUUUCUAUGGAGUGUGUAUGGGCCUUUAAACAGCUGCUGGGUAUUUGUAAAGUAGCACGGACUGUGGAAUCAGAUUUAAAAGCUAUCAAGAGAGUAAGAUGGUGUGUUCUAUGUGAGGGAAGAAUGAGGUGGGUGAACAGGGUAGAGAGAGGAUGUUGACCCGUGUGGCCUCAUACCCCUCUCCAGCAUGAACCAAGCUUUUUCGAGAGGAUACAAGGGAUCACUUUGUGUGUGUGUGUGUGUGUGUGUGUGUGUUGUGCAAGGCUUUGAUCUCAGCACUGUGUGUGUUUAUAAAUCUGUUUAUGCCUCAUUAAAUAUGCAUUACCUGUCUCAUUACAGCUGUAUCCCCACCACAGCUAAUAGAGCCAGCUCCCCUCUGUCUCACACAAGACUUGAAGAUGUUACAUCCCAUUAUUGGAGCCAGCAAACCAGUGAGAGUGUUCCUCACCAGUGGACAGCGAGUCAGGACCAAGCCAACAACAGUGACACCCAGUAUGGAUAUGACUACGCUGACCACCCCACACACAACCUCCAUGAGACUGAAGACCAUGCCUACUACCAAACCCACAACCUUGCUGCAGAUAUGAGAGAUGCUGGCCUCAGCCAACAUUAUGAAAAUGAAGGACAUACUACUACUUCCUACUACUACCAUGCUGAAGGCAAUGACAAAGACCAGUCUGAUGAGUAUAGCCAUUAUGAGAGUGAAGGCCAGGCCCACUGGGAGGCUGAACGUAAAGACCACUCCAGAACUCCAGAAGAGCCAUACGACCCCACAGGCAACGCUCAGUAUCUUCUUGAAGACCAUGCCCAUAAUGAGACUGAAGAGCAGACCCAGUAUGUUCCUGAUGGUUAUGCCCACUUUCUACUCUCCAGCCCGGACCCAGAUCUGUUUGUGCUGUCUUGUUUGGCAAGUUUGACAUGACAAUGACCAUAGGAGUUGGCAAGACUACACAAACAGAUCUAGGACCAGGUUCUUAAAAUUCCAUUAGUGGAUCAAUAUCUAAUACAUUUUUUUUUAACCUUUAUUGAUUAGACUAGAAUACACUGGUGACUACCGAGGGAGGAGAGUGGCUGUGACAUUGAGCUGCAGUAUGGUGUAUGACCACAGGAGUGCAGUACAGAUCCAUACUGAACCUACAGGAUAAAUGUGUGGUGGCAAGUUGGUCCAGAGUCAAGGCCUGCUUCAGAUGAUGCUGGGAUGAUGGCCUCAAAUGAACACGACAUCGAUGGGUUGGAAAACAGACCAGGUGACCCCCGGGUGUCCAGUCAGGAAGCAGACAGGGAGCCUAGUGAGGCUAUCCCAGAGUACAGUGCAGAGCAGGAGUGACAGGACACCAAACUAUGGAGGACAGUCGUCAUCGGGGAGAAGGAGCACCGCAUUGACAUGAAGUGUAUUGAGCCUUACCAAAGAGUCAUCUCUCAUGGAGGUUACUAUGGUGACUGGAAUGCCAUUAUCGUGUUUGCAGCAUGCUUCCUACCUGACAGUAACUCUGAUGAUUACCAUUACGUCUUGGAGAACCUGUUCCGGAGCAUAUACCCACACGGGUGAUUGAAAGAUGAACUGAGGUCCACAUUCCAGUCCAGUUGGUGGUGGUAAUGCACCUCAAAGUUGGUUGCCAACCACCAUAUAUAAAGUCCAAAGAAGAAGCCUGAAGGAGGAGAGAUUACUGGAAACGAACUUGGUUUACCCUUUUUUCUGUGGAUUAAUUGUCGGAGUAGAGGACCUUGUGCAUUUCAGGUAAAAUAACAACCCAAUGUUUAUAUCCCAGGACAAAUUAGUUAGCAACAGCAAGCUUGCUAGCGAACUAAAUUGCCAUAAAUGUUUAAUGCUUUUCGACCU